UACGAAGGGGGCUAGCGUUGCUCGGAAUCACUGGGCGUAAAGCGCAUGUAGGCGGCUUUUUAAGUCAGGGGUGAAAUCCUGGAGCUCAACUCCAGAACUGCCUUUGAUACUGAAGAUCUUGAGUUCGGGAGAGGUGAGUGGAACUGCGAGUGUAGAGGUGAAAUUCGUAGAUAUUCGCAAGAACACCAGUGGCGAAGGCGGCUCACUGGCCCGAUACUGACGCUGAGGCACGAAAGCGUGGGGAGCAAACAGG
rnacentral:rRNA from 1 species